rnacentral:rRNA from 1 species
UAGUUUGAUCCUGGCUCAGGACGAACGCUGGCGGCGUGCCUAAUACAUGCAAGUAGAACGCUGAGGUUUGGUGUUUACACUAGACUGAUGAGUUGCGAACGGGUGAGUAACGCGUAGGUAACCUGCCUCAUAGCGGGGGAUAACUAUUGGAAACGAUAGCUAAUACCGCAUAAGAGUAAUUAACACAUGUUGGUUAUUUAAAAGGAGCAAUUGCUUCACUGUGAGAUGGACCUGCGUUGUAUUAGCUAGUUGGUGAGGUAAAGGCUCACCAAGGCGACGAUACAUAGCCGACCUGAGAGGGUGAUCGGCCACACUGGGACUGAGACACGGCCCAGACUCCUACGGGAGGCAGCAGUAGGGAAUCUUCGGCAAUGGACGGAAGUCUGACCGAGCAACGCCGCGUGAGUGAAGAAGGUUUUCGGAUCGUAAAGCUCUGUUGUUAGAGAAGAACGUUGGUAGGAGUGGAAAAUCUACCAAGUGACGGUAACUAACCAGAAAGGGACGGCUAACUACGUG